rnacentral:rRNA from 1 species
AUUGAACGCUGGCGGCAUGCCUAACACAUGCAAGUCGAACGGGGUGUAGCAAUACAUCUAGUGGCGGACGGGUGAGGAAUACAUAGGAAUUUGCCCUUAAGUGGGGGAUAGUCCGGGGAAACUCGGUUUAAUACCGCAUGAUCUCGUGAGAGCAAAGCAGGGGACCGCAAGGCCUUGCGCUUUUGGAGAAGCCUAUGUCGGAUUAGCUAGUUGGUAGGGUAAUGGCCUACCAAGGCGACGAUCCGUAACUGGUCUGAGAGGAUGAUCAGUCACACCGGAACUGAGACACGGUCCGGACUCCUACGGGAGGCAGCAGUGGGGAAUAUUGGACAAUGGCGCAAGCCUGAUCCAGCAAUGCCGCGUGUGUGAAGAAGGCCU